UGAAGCUACAAGUCCAGUGUUCUUCAGUUCCAGUCCUCAGGGCCUGCCGGUCAUGAUUUGUGAAUAUCCCACAGAAUGAAUACCUGUGGCUGUGCAAAGAUCGGGAAGUGUUCCAUAAAGCUAUCGCGUUUCAGUCUUUAGUCAAGUAAAGUUUGAAAACUAAGGUCACAAGCUACGUCACUAGAGAGUGUGAAUAUUACCGGCCUUGGGAUAGGCCAUCCAGGUGUGAUCAGUGUCCCCACAGCAAAAAAAAAAAAAAAAAAGGGAUCUGCUCAUCUGUGCCC